AGAAGAAGAAGAAGAAGAAGAAGAAGAGAUAAUAUUUCCACAGCUUCACGAGCUAUUUUCGCGAUUGGCGAAAGCAUCAGAUUUGAAAUGUAUCUAGGGAUGACACAGAGCAAGACAGUGAGCCAGAGCUGCCAGGAGAUGUCAUCGAGCCCCUCCCAACUGCAUCAAGCACCAGAUAUGCUGUUCCAAAAGGACCCAAUGACAUUUCAAGAUCCAGAGAAGAGGGUCCUGUACAGCUGUGUUUGAAAACAUUUCCCAGAACUCAGCAUGGUACUAGGAAAAGGGCUUUCUACAGCUCCUGGUAUAAGGACAAUUCAUGGCUUGAAUAUUCUGUAAGUCAGGAUUUGACUUAUUGUUUCACAUGUAGGCAUUUUUCUCUGCCCAAUGCACCUGAAUCUGCCUUCACAUCACAGUCAGGUUUUUGUAACUGGAAAAAGGUGCUGUUUAAAGAUUCUGGGUUUAAGCUCCAUUCGAAGGCAGAGCAUCAUAUCAAUGCUAUGUAUGCUUGGAAUCAGCAUAAAAGGGCUAUUGACAGCAACUCAUCAAUGUUAGAUGUCAGAAAUGAGGACCGGAAAAAGAAAGUGGAGGAAAACUGUACUGACAUUAAAACAAUUGCAGAUGUGCUCCUAUUAACUGCCACUCAAUAUAUAGCGCAGAGGUCAUCGAGAGUCUAAUGACUCUCACAACAAGGGUAAUUUUUUACAAUCUUAGAAGAAAUAGCAAAGCAUGACCCUCUCAUAGAGAAAAUUAUGAAUGUGGCAAUGCUAAGUACACAAGACACCAAAUCCAGAACAAAGUUAUUGAGGGCUUAGCUGAGAUGGUACAAAUGGAAAUAUUAAGAGAAGUAAAAGAAAGUGAAGUUUUUAGUGUAAUUGCAGAUGAAACCAAAUAUUUUAAAGAAAAAAUAACAAAUGUCUUAAGUUGUGAGGUACUAUUACAACGGGACCAUCCACGAAAGCUUUUUACACUUUCAGUCAGCUGAAAGAUAAGAUGCAGCAGGUCUCACAAAAAUGAUAAUUGAUUGCCUUGAAAAACAUGAUCUGGAAUACAGAAAUAAUCUUGUGGGGCAAGGCAAUGACGGUGCAUCCGUCAUGAGCGGAAACCAUUCUGGUGUCUGCACGAAUUAAAAACAGUGCAAGAUUAGUAUUUUUUUGUGCACUGUAAUGCACAUUGUUUGAAUUUGGUUCUUGUCGAUGCUGUAAAAUCAGUGCCUGAGGCAGUUUACUGUUUUGCUCUCCUGCAGAAGCUUUAUAACUUUGUAUCUGGCUCGUACGUUCAUCUCAAGUGACUUGUAGUUCAGAAAGAGCUGUAUCCACAGCAGCAGCCCAGGGAACUACAGAGACUUACAGAUGUAAGGUGGGCAUGCAGAUACAGUACAUGGCAUGGCCGUAAUCUGAGGGACAGUCUUUCAGCAGUUCUGAGAGUGCUACAGGAUAUCACACUUGAAAAUAGUGGUGAUAGAUCAGUGGAGGCAAGGGGCCUUCUUUCUCAAAUAGAUUUACAUUUACACUUUUGGCUUUUGGUUACCUUUUUGGUUACCAUUUACACUUUUGGUUACCUUUUGUAAAGUGCUUGGUGAUGCUAAAUGUCUUUCUGACAUGCUCCAAUCAAGCUCUCUUGACCUAGCAAGGGCUGUGGAUCUAGUAGGUGCCCUUACAGACACAUACAGGACUACAGAAGUGAGGGUUACUUUGUAGAACUAUGGAAAGAGGUUGAAGAGAUGGCAGAGCAUUGCAAAAAAAGUGUACAAACAGUGUGUAAAAGACAGCCUAAAACAAGCUUAAGAUUUCACGACUCAUUGAUGAGCACUGUAGGACAGAAAAAUAGUGACAAAAGUGAUGGUGAGAGCUUCCAAAGAUCGGUCUUUUAUCAGGUGCUUGACAGUCUCGCAGAGGCGUUUUUCAAAGAAGAAUUGUGAGAUAAUGCAAGGGGUCCAGUCUUUCAACCCAAAGAGUACAACAUUCUUGAAUGAGGAGCCUUUGAGUCAGAUUUAGAGGACCUCAAACAUGAGUGUCAUCAAACCAAGCGGCGUCUUGAUAGGAGAGAGAAAAGUGGAAGGGACAGACCGUCUACUCUCCUUGACUUUGUUGUGUUUCUAGAACCUUAUAAAGAGGUCUUCCAUGAGCUAUUUCUACUUUGUAAGAUUUCUGUUGUUACACCAGUCAGCAGUGCUUCUUGCGAGAGAAGCUUCUCAGCUUUAAAACUGAUUAAAUCCCACCUUAGUACAACAAUGGUUGAUGACAUGUAAAGUCACCUCAGAAUUCUCAGUGUUGAGUGAAGGAGGGCACGCUCCCUCAACAUGGAUGAGUUUGUGAAACAUUUUGCCAGUUCUCACCAGAACCUCAGAAUUAUGCUGUUUUAAAUCUAGCUAGGAUCAUUUGGAACUUAAGCGGUCCCUCUGGUCAUGGUUAACCUGCACUGUGUACUAGCUAGGACACUGACAUUCUAAAAUGAUAUAUCCAAAGGGUAUCAUGUCACACAGAUUUAAUUUGGUCUUGAUUAGGCCAAUUCCAAAACGUUUCUUUGCUAUUAGUUAACAUAAUAUAUAUGAGCAUAAAUAUGAUACUGUAAGUUUGUAAUAUUGAUGGGCACCAAAAAAAUUGAAAUAAUUUAUGCCUGGCAUGUCAAAUUGCAGUGUGUUUUUUUGUAAAUAAACAAUGCAAUUUAUGUAACACACAAAUGCUAUCUUAUCUCCUUGGUGCUUGAGCUUUAUUUUCUGAAAAUACUUUGGAUGUUGAACACUUAUAGACCCAG